UUGGAGGGCAAGUCUGGUGCCAGCAGCCGCGGUAAUUCCAGCUCCAAUAGCGUAUAUUAAAGUUGUUGCAGUUAAAAAGCUCGUAGUUGAAUUUCGGGAUCAAUAUGUCGGUCGUGCCUUCGGUACGUACUGGUAUCAUUGGUCUCUCCUUUCUGACGAACCAUGAUGUCAUUAAUUUGGUGUUAUGGGGAGUUAGGACUGUUACUUUGAAAAAAUUAGAGUGUUUAAAGCAGGCUUUAGCUUGAAUACAUUAGCAUGGAAUAAUGAAAUAGGACGUUCGAACCUAUUUUGUUGGUUUCUAGGAUCAACGUAAUGAUUAAUAGGGAUAGUUGGGGGCAUUAGUAUUCAAUUGUCAGAGGUGAAAUUCUUGGAUUUAUUGAAGACUAACUACUGCGAAAGCAUUUGCCAAGGAUGUUUUCAUUAAUCAAGAACGAAAGUUAGGGGAUCGAAGACGAUCAGAUACCGUCGUAGUCUUAACCAUAAACUAUGCCGACUAGGGGUCGGAUGAUGUUAAUUUUUUAAUGACUCAUUCGGCGCCUUACGGGAAAC
rnacentral:rRNA from 1 species